UGAGAAUAAUCUCACAUUCAUCACACCAGACAGGACUGGGUGGGUGUUACCUUGCCAUGUAACAUUCCGGUGCGGUUCAUGGAAAUAUAAUACUGGCUCUUCAGUCCUUUUAUGGCCAACACGCCACCCUCUGAAACGGUCCUGAUCUCCAGAACACCUGAAACACAGCCAGUGAACCUGACGGGAUGGUGAUUGGCUUUCACCUGCUCUCGGGGUUUAAGGUCAGUCUAUUCUGAGUGGCAGGCAACAUUCGUGUUAAACCGUGGCUUUCUACAUUCCCUCAUAAUUGGUGAGCCCCUGGGAUCGGGGCUGGUAACGAAUUGAAUGGUGUGGAGAUGGGGGCGUGGUUGAGCGACGUUCUGUGGAGAGCGAGGCCGGGAGAGGAAGAGCUACCUUCUGCAGCACCAAGCAAAGAGAAAGACCACCCCUCAUGGGAGACCAUCACUGCUGGCCAAAUCACCACACAACACAUUCAGGCACAACACACAAACUCACA